GCACAUGGUUGCAUACCUGGUUUGUUAUUGUAUGAUUUGAUUGGCUAUUGUAUGUCGCAAUGCAGGUAUUCUACCCGUUUGUACGAGGGUAGGAUCGUGAUUCUCGUGCAGAAUCUCAUUAUAAAUAUAAGAUAUUUUUAUAACCAGUUAUUCGAAGUUCUGCCUUUACAGAGUAGCAUACCUUCCGUUUCGUUAUACACAUCCCCCACCCACC
rnacentral:lncRNA from 1 species